GAUGAACGCUGGCGGCGUGCCUAAUACAUGCAAGUCGAGCGAACAGACGAGGAUCUUGUUCCUCUGACGUUAGCGGCGGACGGGUGAGUAACACGUGGAUAACCCACCUAUAAGACUGGGAUAAUUUCGGGAAACCGGAGCUAAUACCGGAUAAUAUAUUGAUCCGUAUGGUUCAUUAGUGAAAGACGGUUUUGCUGUCACUUAUCGAUGGAUCCGCGCUGCAUUAGCUAGUUGGUAAGGUAACGGCUUACCACGGCAACGAGUCGUAGCCGACCUGAGAGGGUGGUCGGCCACACUGGAACGGGGACAGGCUCCAGACGACUACGGGAGGCAGCAGUAGCCAAUGUUCCGCAAUAGGCGAAAGCCUGACGGAGCAACGCCGCGUGAGUGGUGGAGGUCUUCGGAUCGUAAAACUCUGUUAUUAGGGAAGAACAGAUGUGUAAGUAGCUAUACACGUCUUGACGGUACCUAAUCAGAAAGCCACGGCUAACUACGUG
rnacentral:rRNA from 1 species